CAGAGGUUACUGCUAUCGRGAUUCGACUAAGCCAUGCGAGUUGAAUGUUCUUCGUGAACAUGGCGGACUGCUCAGUAACACGUGGACAACCUACCCUUGGGUCCGGCAUAAUCCUGGGAAACUGGGAAUAAUUCCGGAUAGGUCACCGAUGCUGGAAUGCGCGGUGGCCGAAAGCUCCGGCGCCCGAGGAUGGGUCUGCGGCCUAUCAGGGUUGUAGUGGGUGUAACGUACCUACUAGCCUACGACGGGUACGGGUUGUGAGAGCAAGAGCCCGGAGAUGGAUUCUGAGACACGAAUCCAGGCCCUACGGGGUGCAGCAGGCGCGAAAACUUUACAAUGCGGGAAACCGUGAUAAGGGGAUCUCGAGUGCCAGCAUAUAAUGUUGGCUGUCCAGAUGCCUAAAAAGCAUCUGUUAGCAAGGGCCGGGCAAGACCGGUGCCAGCCGCCGCGGUAACACCGGCGGCCCGAGUGGUAACCGCUAUUAUUGGGUCUAAAGGGUCUGUAGCCGGCCAGGUAAGUCCCUUGGGAAAUCUGGCAGCUCAACUGUCAGGCUGCUAGGGGAUACUGUUUGGCUUGGGACCGGGAGAGGUGAGAGGUACCUUGGGGGUAGGGGUGAAAUCUUGUGAUCCUCGAGGGACCACCAGUGGCGAAGGCGUCUCACCAGAACGGGUCCGACGGUAAGGGACGAAAGCUAGGGGCACGAACCGGAUUAGAUACCCGGGUAGUCCUAGCCGUAAACGAUGCUCGCUAGGUGUCAGUCACGGUGCGACCGUGAUUGGUGCCGUAGGGAAGCCGUGAAGCGAGCCACCUGGGAAGUAUGGCCGCAAGGCUGAAACUUAAAGGAAUUGGCGGGGGGAGCACUACAWCSGRYSGAGCCUGCGGUUUAAUUG
rnacentral:rRNA from 1 species